rnacentral:rRNA from 1 species
UCCAGACUCCUACGGGAGGCAGCAGUGGGGAAUAUUGCACAAUGGGGGAAACCCUGAUGCAGCAACGCCGCGUGAGUGAGGAAGUAUUUCGGUAUGUAAAGCUCUCUCAGCAGGGAAUAGAAAAGAAGGUACCUGAAAAAGAAGCCCCGGCUAACUACGUGCCAGCAGCCGCGGUAAUACGUAGGGGGCAAGCGUUAUCCGGAUUUACUGGGUGUAAAGGGAGCGUAGACGGCAGCGCAAGUCUGAAGUGAAAUGCCGGGGCUUAACCCCGGAACUGCCUUGGAAACUGGGCAGCUAGAGUGCAGGAGAGGUAAGUGGAAUUCCUGGUGUAGCGGUGAAAUGCGUAGAUAUUAGGAGGAACCCCAGUGGCGAAGGCGGCUUACUGGGCUGUAACUGACGUUGAGGCUCGAAAGCGUGGGGAGCAAACAGGAUUAGAUACCCUCGUAA